rnacentral:rRNA from 1 species
CAGCCGCCGCGGUAAUACGUAGGGUGCGAGCGUUAAUCGGAUUUACUGGGCGUAAAGCGUGCGCAGGCGGCCCGUUAAGACAGGUGUGAAAUCCCUGGGCUCAACCUAGGAAUUGCGCUUGUGACUGGCGGGCUCGAGUACGGUAGAGGGGGGUGGAAUUCCUGGGGUAGCAGUGAAAUGCGUAGAGAUCAGGAGGAACACCGAUGGCGAAGGCAGCCCCCUGGGCCUGUACUGACGCUCAUGCACGAAAGCGUGGGGAGCAAACAGGAUUAGAUACCCUGGUAGUCCACGCCCUAAACGAUGGGUACUAGCCGUUUGGUGCGCGAUAGCGCUGAGUGGCGAAGCUAACGCGUGAAGUACCCCGCCUGGGGAGUACGGCCGCAAGGUUGAAACUUAAAGGAAUUGGCGGG